rnacentral:rRNA from 1 species
CUCAUCAUCCUCACUACUUGGAGACUCUGGAAGCACCGUAAUGACUGCAUGUUCAACGCCGUCAGCCCUUAUGUCGCCAGACUCUCCGACUGCAUCAAGGAAGACGCCCGUGCUUGGGUGCGCGCCGAGGCCAAGGGGCUUGGCCAACUGAUUGACGAGACGUAG